rnacentral:rRNA from 1 species
AGAGUUUGAUCCUGGCUCAGGAUGAACGCUGGCGGCGUGCUUAACACAUGCAAGUCGAACGGGGCUCUUCGGAGCCUAGUGGCGGACGGGUGAGUAACGCGUGAGAAUCUAGCUUCAAGUUCGGGACAACAUUGGGAAACCGAUGCUAAUACCGGAUGUGCCGAAAGGUGAAAGGCUUGCUGCUUGAAGAAGAGCUCGCGUCUGAUUAGCUAGUAGGUGUGGUAAGAGCGCACCUAGGCGACGAUCAGUAGCUGGUCUGAGAGGAUGAUCAGCCACACUGGAACUGAGACACGGUCCAGACUCCUACGGGAGGCAGCAGUGGGGAAUUUUCCGCAAUGGGCGAAAGCCUGACGGAGCAACGCCGCGUGAGGGAGGAAGGCUCUUGGGUUGUAAACCUCUUUUCUCAAGGAAUAAGUUCUGAAGGUACUUGAGGAAUCAGCAUCGGCUAACUCCGUGCCAGCAGCCGCGGUAAUACGGAGGAUGCAAGCGUUAUCCGGAAUGAUUGGGCGUAAAGCGUCCGCAGGUGGUGAUGUGUGUCUAUUGUCAAAGCGUGCGGCUUAACCGCAUAAGGGCAGUGGAAACUACAUGACUAGAGUGCGUUCGGGGCAGAAGGAAUUCCUGGUGUAGCGGUGAAAUGCGUAGAGAUCAGGAAGAACACCGGUGGCGAAAGCGUUCUGCUAGGCCGUAACUGACACUGAGGGACGAAAGCUAGGGGAGCGAAUGGGAUUAGAUACCCCAGUAGUCCUAGCCGUAAACGAUGGAUACUAGGCGUUGCGUGUAUCGACCCACGCAGUGCCGUAGCUAACGCGUUAAGUAUCCCGCCUGGGGAGUACGCACGCAAGUGUGAAACUCAAAGGAAUUGACGGGGGCCCGCACAAGCGGUGGAGUAUGUGGUUUAAUUCGAUGCAACGCGAAGAACCUUACCAGGGCUUGACAUGUCUGGAAUUCUGCUGAGAGGCAGGAGUGCCUUAGGGAACCAGAACACAGGUGGUGCAUGGCUGUCGUCAGCUCGUGUCGUGAGAUGUUGGGUUAAGUCCCCGCAACGAGCGCAACCCUCGUACUUAGUUGCCAGCACUUCGGGUGGGCACUCUAGGGAGACUGCCGGUGACAAACCGGAGGAAGGCGGGGAUGACGUCAAGUCAGCAUGCCCCUUACGUCCUGGGCUACACACGUACUACAAUGCUACAGACAAAGGGCAGCGAGCAGGCGACUGUAAGCAAAUCUCAGAAACUGUGGCUCAGUUCAGAUCGCAGGCUGCAACUCGCCUGCGUGAAGGAGGAAUCGCUAGUAAUUGCAGGUCAGCAUACUGCAGUGAAUUCGUUCCCGGGCCUUGUACACACCGCCCGUCACACCAUGGAAGCUGGUCACGCCCGAAGUCGUUACCCUAACCGUUCGCGGAGGGGGAUGCCGAAGGUAGGACUGGUGACUGGGGUGAAGUCGUAACAAGGUAGCCGUACCGGAAGGUGUGGCUGGAUCACCUCCUUUAAUAGGGAGACCCAUUUCAGUGAACAGUAGAGAGUGAACAGUAAACAAGAAGAUGUGUUUACAGGGAACUGAGAGCAGAACACUGAAAGAAUCCCGAGGUCGGUCGUAGGAAGUAGGGUAUAAAGCUUUCAAACUAUAAAGAUGGUUCGAGUGUGGGCUAUUAGCUCAGGUGGUUAGAGCGCACCCCUGAUAAGGGUGAGGUCCCUGGUUCGAGUCCAGGAUGGCCCACCUGAAAGCAGUGAACAGUAGACAGUGGCGGUUAAAGAAACAAAAAACUGUGAACUGAGAACUGAAUGCUUGGGGGUUUAGCUCAGUUGGUAGAGCGCCUGCUUUGCAAGCAGGAUGUCAGGAGUUCGAGUCUCCUAACCUCCACCAGAAAAAGCAAGCAAACAAAAGAGGGCAAAAAAAGUUCAGCACCUGAAUUUGAAGCUAGAGAAUUUAGGAUGCUGGGUUUUGAGUCCAGCCAGAACCUUGAAAACUGCAUAGAGAAGCGAAUGUAGGUAGUCAGAAGUCAUGAGUCAGAAGUCAUUUGUAUGUGGCGAUGACAAAAGACGAAUGACAACACAGAUAGUGAAGUGGUCAAGCUAAUAAGGGCUUGCGGAGGAUACCUAGGCACACAGAGGCGAGG